ensembl:lincRNA
AUGAGCGCUGGAAUGAAUUUUCACCUAGUUUUGCAACCCGCAGCCCAGCCCGGCCUCUGUCCUCUCCAGAUCCAAAGCCCCGAGGGACCAGGGGCGGCGGGGAGCGGGUGGGAGGAGGUGAGGAGAGCUGCACCAGGAGUUUCUGGGUCCCCACUCAAGGCUGGCCAGCCCCACCUCUCCACCCUCAGGAGAUUUGGCGACCCGAGCAUAGUCAUUGUCCGUCCUCCCACUCCCCCCCCCCCCGCCCCCACCCCCCCGAGUCCAAUCGCUCGCUCCCCAAGCCGCCUAGUCACCGCGGCCCGCAGCGCAGNNNNNNNNNNNNNNNNNNNNNNNNNNNNNNNNNNNNNNNNNNNNNNNNNNNNNNNNNNNNNNNNNNNNNNNNNNNNNNNNNNNNNNNNNNNNNNNNNNNNAAAAGUGGGGACUGGGGUGGGGGGGGUUUCCCAGAAGGACAGUGAGCUGGGCAUCCGCCCUCCAGCCUUCACGUACUCACCUCCCCCCGCGCCGGUAACCAGUACCACCCUCCCGUUGAACCUCAACGUCGAGGCCAUAAGUCUAGUCUGCAGCGGCACACACACACACACUAGCAGAAGCAGUGCAGAGUGGAGUUUAGACUGCGAGGCAGAGAGAAACCCAAAGGAGAGAAUGCGGCUAUACUCACAGAUCUGUCCUCACACUGGAAUCAAAUGGAGAAGCAGAAAAAGUAUAGCUGGAAGUACUCACCAGGAGAAUGGAUACAAUCUAGGAGAUCUAGCUGAGGUGGAAUCCUGGAGGCGUUGACCAGAGGUCUCCAUCGCUGGGAUUGGAGCCUGCUGAAACAGCGGCUCUCUGAUCUCCGGGAGAGCUUCCGGAGGAUCAGUGGCUCCUGCAGGACUUCACCUGGCCCCGCAUUAGGCAUUAAGGCGGCCUCCGGUCCUUGUGGAGCACUUGGAGGCAGGCGCAUCAUUAUCCAGUAUUGGGGAGGGGUCAGGUCAUCCCUUUCCAAAUCCUUCGGAAUUUCCUUUUUUAUCAUCAGUCAAUCUUCGUGCCACUAAUAUUUUUCCCUUUCCCUUCUGGACACAGAACCUUGUCCAAGUAGGAGGGUCUUGAGCGAACCCUAGCCGUGAGUCAAUGUAUGGAUAUUGAUCCGGGUGUCCUGGCUCUCCUGUGACUACUGUAUAGACUGCUUCCACUAGUUUUAAGUUCAUGGUGCUCUCUGGUGGCCAUCCUACUCCCAGAGGGGGCCAUUCGGCCUCACAGAGUAUGUGGAGGCGGUUAGCGUCAUCUUUACCCAUAGUCUCCUCCACCCCUUCUUUAAAUUUUUAAUCAUGCACUGCAAUACAGUUGCCUUAGAUUCACUUCCCCCCAUCUCGCUUACCUUCUUGGAUCUUCUUCUACUUUUCCUUUUCUUUCUGCCUGUGAAGUUCUCAGUACCCUAUGUACUUUUGAUAUUUCCAAUCAAUGACAUUUAAAUUGCCAUUCCACCUCCUUCCUAAUUGGGGUGAGAAGAGCCUUACCUGCCAGAUCCCAGAGGGAGAAAGGGGAUCGGCAUGUCUUCACCUGCCGGUCAGCACGGCCAAACCAGAACACCACGUGAUCCAAGACUGUUUCUCCCUUAACUUUUAAAGUCCGUUCUGCCUUGGUGGCCUUGAUCAGGUGCGGAUGAAAACACAUAUGGGUUAAAUAUCCCACAUCCCAGGCCGUAUCCAGAAAAGCCAGGUCGUACUCAUUUGUGUAUCCCCUCCUUCUAGCCUGCCAGUUCCAAGGGGACCAAGAAUUUCACAGCAGAUGGGACACCUGCAAAAUACGAGCACACAAAGACCAAGUUUCUUCUCUUAAGAAUCCCCUGGUGACUGCUUGAUAAUAAUUUUCCCCAAGAUGGCGUGGACACCACCUCCUAAAUGACAUUCACAAAUUUCCUUCCUAAGCCCUAACACACUCGUCAACCUGUGUACGAAGCAAUCGCCACCAUCUGCCUAUUCCAGGCUCCUGUGGGUCCAUGCCCCUUCUGGUCCCUUGCUCCUGGGGGUCCAUGCCCCUUCUGGUCCCUCCCAGGGUGGUGAUCAGGCCCCUCUUCCACCCUGCUGGGUGGGUUCCUCCUCACCUGAGCACUCAGUUCCCCUGCUGCCGUCCACCACCUGCUAACAUGAAAGGUCUGGGCAUUGAGAAGCAGAAUGCUUCCAGAAGGGCAAGGUGCCUUCCCCCCUUUAGAAGACUCGAGCCACAAGGCCUUGGAGUAGUCCCAAAUGGGACUUGUCUCCUCAAAGUGAGGAGGUUAGAAGGGCGAGGUGCCUUCCCCCUUCUAGAAGAUUCGAGCUGCAAGGCCUUGGAGUAGUCCCAAACGGGACUUGUCUCCUCAAAGUGAGGAGUUUCCUGGCCAAUGUACCAAAUGUUGUAGCCAUGUAUUCUGGGAAACAAACUCACUCAGAAGGACAAUGCAGAUAGCGGAGUGCAGUUUAUUACACCAGCAGGCCCAAGGCAGAGUCUCCUCUUAGCCAAGGACCCUGACCAGUUUUUGUGAAAACCUUAUAUACCCUAAGUGUACGUGCUCAAACCCACCUCCCUAAAUUUUCUGAAACUAGUCUGAAUAAAGGAAAAGAUCGAUACAAUCCAAGUUAACCCUUGAUUCACAUGCCUUAAGCCUAGGUAGUUAACAGCGGGCAAUUAUCAAUAGGCCUAUGGUCAUACCCCAAUAAGCAUAAUAGAAUUUAUUUUUCUAUUCGGUUACAUAGAUAAUUAGGGUAUUCUUUUAGGUGUCUGAGGGUCUAGGUAUGAGCCCUGGGGCUCUUCCAUCCUGGGGAUCUGGUUUUCCAGUUGGUGUGUCAUUUCCAUAGAUAGUAAGCAUAUAACUCAAAGUCCACAGUCUGGUCCAAGAUGGAGUCCUGCUUUCAAGAUGGAGCCUGUUCUGUCUGUUUCCUCCUUCAUUAUCUUUUACAAGCAUCCUUUAUUAAUAAAUCCAUUUCUUGCCUAUUACUUUGUGUCUUGCUGAAUUACUUCUGUGCUGAGACUCAAAAACCUGAGCCUCUGUAAAUCCAGAUAUCAGGUGAGUGAUUCUAGUUAAAAGAUCAUGGAUUCAAGUCCCAAGAAGGGUUUUGACUGGGUUUGAGUUCCAUGUGGAUUAGAGUCCCAAACUGCGUUUCAGCCAGGUUGGAGUCCAGGUCAUAUGGGCUAGAGUCCCAUGCAGCAUUUUGGUUGGGUUUGAGUCCUGGCACAAGGGUUCAAGUCCCAAUCUGAGGUUAACAGUUUCACUAUCACUAAAUAUACCCACAUUCUUUGGUAAUAGGGGAUAUGAUUUCAACCAAAGAAUUUUGAGGGAACACAGUUCACUACUGACAGGGUUUACUGUUGAUAAACUCUUACAGUUUUUACUUGAAAAAAUAUUCAUUUCAGCCUCAGUAUCAAGUGAUAAUUUAAUUGGCUAUAAUACUGUUGAUCAUGUACCAUGAUCAAGUGGGAUUUAUUCCAGGGAUGCAAGGAUUUUUUAAUAUCCUCAAACUGUAACAGGGAAGUGCAAAUUCUAACUCCUUGUUGGAUCUAUUUCUUUUACUUUAACUUUUAUGUUUCACUGCUUUUGUUAUUAUAAUCACUAUCUAUAGCUAUCCCACUUCAACUUGCUCAAUCGUGUCUGACUCCUUCCGACCCCAUGGACUAUACAGUCCAUGGAAUUCUCCAGGCCAGAAUACUGGAGUGGGUAGCCUUUCCCUUCUCCAGGGGUUCUUCGCAAUCCAGGGAUCAAACCCAGGACUCCUGCAUUGCGGGUGGAUUCUUUACCAGCUGAGCGACAAAGGAAGCUAUAGAUAAGGGCUUGCCACAGGCAAUCCUACCCCUCUAGGCUUUGUUCAACUCAAAGAGAGACAGUCUGACCCUGCCCACCUGAAAAGAAGAAAUGAACAUAUCCCCUCCCCAAGUAUGGCCAUUCCAGGAGAUAUUUGCAAGAUUUAUGACCUUUUUACUUUGCUUCCUUACCUCCUCUCUCUCUUUCUUCUAUAUAAGAAUCUGGCAUCCAGACCCCGAUAAGAUGAUUUUGAGAUAUUAGUCUGCCAUCUUCUUAGUCUUCUGGCUUUCUGAAUAAAGUUGUAUUUCUUGCCACAACACCUCAUCUCCAAUUUAUUAACCUGUAGUGUGGCAAACAAAGUGAACUCGGGCUCGGUAACAAAUUCAAUGUGAUAGAUCAUGUUAACAAACUGAAGAAUAAAAACCAUAUGAUCAUCUCAAUGGAUGCAGAAAAACCUUUUAAUAAAAUUAAACAUCUAUUUAUGAUUAAAAAAAAUAAUUCAGAAUGGGAGAAAAAGUGACUUUACCUCAACAUAAUAAAGGCCAUAUAUGACAAAUCCAUAGCUAACACCAUAUUCAACAGUGAAAAGCUGAAAGCAUUUCCACUAAGAUCAGGAAAAGACAAGAAUGACCAUUCUUACCACUUUUAUACAACAUAGUUUUGGGAAUCUUAGCCACAGCAAUCAAAGAAGAAAAAGGAAUUUUAAAAAUUGGAAGAGGUAAAACUGUCACUGUUUGCAGAUGGAAUGAUUCUAUACAUAGAACAUCCUAAAGACUUCCAGAAAAUUACUAGAGCUCGUCAAUGAACUUGAUAAAGCUGCUGGAUACAAAACUAAUAUACUGAAAACGAACAAUUGUCAGGAAGCAUUUAACAGGAGGCUUCCUGUGUGCUGUUUUGUAUCUGUCAGGAAUCCUCUGUUCCUUAUUAAUUCCUGAAUAUUCAGAAAUUAAGAGGAGAAGGCUGAGGAAUCCAGGCAUUUCCUUCGUUAGUUUUCCAAUACGGUGAUAAGUACCCUCUUCCUUCUUAUGAACCAUACAGUAAAAGUGAUUGUUUACAACUCUCUCUCUUUAGUAUGGAUUGCCUUAAGUUUUGUAAGUCUGGAAUUUUAAUCUUUAUUUUUGCUGAGAAUAACUACCUUCUAAGAUUAUACAGUGGAAGUGAGAAAUAGAUUUAAGGGACUAGACCUGAUAGAUAGAGUGCCUGAUGAACUAUGGAAUGAGGUUCGUGACAUUGUACAGGAGACAGGGAUCAAGACCAUCCCCAUGGAAAAGAAAUGCAAAAAAGCAAAAUGGCUGUCUGGGGAAGCCUUACAAAUAGCUGUGAAAAGAAGAGAGAUGAAAAGCAAAGGAGAAAAGGAAAGAUAUAAGCAUGUGAAUGCAGAGUUCCAGAGAAUAGUAAGAAGAGAUAAGAAAGCCUUCUUCAGCGAUCAAUGCAAAGAAAUAGAGGAAAACAACAGAAUGGGAAAGACUAGAGAUCUCUUCAAGAAAAUUAGAGAUACCAAGGGAACAUUUCAUGCAAAGAUGGGCUCGAUAAAGGACAGAAAUGGUAUGGACCUAACAGAAGCAGAAGAUAUUAAGAAGAAGUGGCAACAAUACACAGAAGAACUAUAUAAAAAAGAUCUUCAUGACC